GUAAGUAAGCUAUGAUCCAGAGAUUUCCAAAUGGGGGAACCCAAUAUCUUUUAUAGGAUAUUACUUUUCAGUGAAUACAUAGCUGAUUAGAGGUAGACGCAGAGAACUGAAACAUCUUAGUACCUGCAGGAAGAGAAAGAAAAUUCGAUUCCCUGAGUAGCGGCGAGCGAAACGGGAAGAGCCCAAACCAACAAGCUUGCUUGUUGGGGUUGUAGGACUCCGAUAUGGUAGUCUGUUAGUAUAGUUGAAGGAUUUGGAAAAUUCCGCUAAAGAGGGUGAAAGCCCCGUAGACGAAAUGCUAACAACACCUAGGAGGAUCCUGAGUACGG
rnacentral:rRNA from 1 species